GGUUGUGGCUCAGUGUCAGAGUGCUCUCCUAGCAUGUGCGAGGCCCUGGGUUCGAUCCUUAGCACCA
rnacentral:tRNA from 1 species